rnacentral:lncRNA from 10 species
AUGUUUUGCAAUGAUUUGCCUGGUUCUUUAUUAGGCAUCCAGGUUUUUGUUGGGGGUACAGCAACGAUAAGCAAACAAACGCUCCAAAAAAGUGAUAUAGUAAAACAGUAAUAUCAGAAUGUGAAGAUAUACCCUUUAAACACUUUGAUUCUUAAACCCAGUACACCUGGAUAGUCUGAAGAAUAAAAAUGGAAGGUAGAAAUGUUGGAGGCCUAUAUAAGUGGAAAUAUGAUUUGGGAUGAUUAAUUGGAUUCUCUUCAGUGAUAAAUAUUUAAGAUAACCAUGCUGCAAUGUCCUUGAUGGAUUAGAUAUCCUAAAAUUACAGAUCAUUUACUCAAUUGUUGAACAUGAAAGUGAACAUUCAUUUGUCUUGUAUAAAAAAAUUCUAAUUCUAGUAGGCACCCUCAACAAGAUAGUCAUUGAAUUCUAGAUUAAAUCACAUUACACUAUCAAUAUUAUAAUUCUGCCACAUUGCAUAACCCUAACUUUAAUAGAAUGAUAAACCUUGAAACAAUUCACACACACAGACAUGAUUAUCACACACUUAUUAGCAAAAGUAACAAAUUUGAAACAUGUUAUAUAAAAAUAGGCUCUGUAAUCAGUAACUGGAACCAGUACUUCCAAAUUAGGCCAAAUUUUUAUCCAAAUGAACUUUUGAAGAGAACCAUUCAUGAUGCUUGUGAAUGUGAAUCAUAACAUUCCUCUCUACCUUCCCUUUUUUUUUUUUUUUUUUGAGACAGAGUCUCGCUUUAUCGCCCAGGCUGGAGUACAGUGGCACGACCUUGGCUCACUGCAACCUCCACCUCCCAGGUUCACACCAUACUCCUACCUCAGCCUCCCAAGUAGCUGGGACUACAGGUGCCCGCCACCACGUCUGGCUAAUUUUUUGUAUUUUUAGUAGAGACAAGGUUUCACCAUGUUAGCCAGGAUGGUCUCGAUCUCCUGACCUCGUGAUCUGCCUGCCUCGGCCUCCCAAAGUGCUGGGAUUACAGGUGUGAGCCACCGCGCCCGGCCUCUACCUUCCCUUCUAAACAUCAGUGAAAUUGGUUAUUUACACUACAAACAUUUGAAACUUUAAGGGAAAGUAUUCUAAACUCCUAAAAGAGCCUCAUUUAUAGGUAACUAUAUCCCAUUGAGAAAGAAUACAUUUACUGUACCAGUGAUUAAAACAGAAGGUAGGUUUUCUUUAUUUUACAAUUGCUUAUCACCUAAAAGACUGCCUUCUGCUUUCCUUUUAAAAAGAUAAAAAGUAGGAGGAGCAAGAAAAAUAAUGUACAAUGCUAAGUAUAUUUUUGUUUGUCUUCAUGGUUGACAAAUAUUCAUUAUGACAAAAUAAAUUUAAUUUCUGUGCUAGCUAUAAUUUUUAGUUAUAAAGAACAAUGAUAAACUCAAGUUACCUCAAUUCUGAAGUAUUUAUUACAAGGAAAUGGGGGAAUUAAGGAAGAUGGGGGGUCUCAGUCAGGUGAUGAGGUAUCAAGAACAGGAACUCCUCCAUCUCUGAGCAGGAAAAUAAGAACCUAAUUGUGCCUGAGCUUCCUGGAGAACAGACUCCUUCUGGACUGGCAAGAUCAUUCCAGACAGGCUCAAGGCAGCUUUAGGUUAUCUGUUCACCCCGGCAGUCCCUACUCUGCUGAGCCACUUAUAGCAGGAAGGAACUUAUGAA